rnacentral:rRNA from 1 species
AAGCCUACGGGAGGCAGCAGUGGGGAAUAUUGCACAAUGGGGGAAACCCUGAUGCAGCGACGCCGCGUGAGUGAAGAAGUAUUUCGGUAUGUAAAGCUCUAUCAGCAGGGAAGAAAAUGACGGUACCUGACUAAGAAGCCCCGGCUAACUACGUGCCAGCAGCCGCGGUAAUACGUAGGGGGCAAGCGUUAUCCGGAUUUACUGGGUGUAAGGGAGCGUAGACGGCCAGACAAGUCAGAAGUGAAAGCCCAGGGCUCAACCCCGGGACUGCAUUGGAAACUGCCGGGCUGGAGUGUCGGAGGGGG